UACAGAGGUCUCAAGCGUUGUUCGGAUUCACUGGGCGUAAAGGGUGCGUAGGUGGUCAGGUAAGUCUGAUGUGAAAUCUCUGAGCUCAACUCAGAAACUGCAUUGGAUACUAUCUGGCUUGAGGAGUGGAGGGGGGACUGGAAUACUUGGUGUAGCAGUGAAAUGCGUAGAUAUCAAGUGGAACACCAGUGGCGAAGGCGAGUCCCUGGACACUUCCUGACACUGAGGCACGAAAGCUAGGGGAGCAAACAGG
rnacentral:rRNA from 1 species